GACUGAAGAAGUUUGAAUAAUGAAUUAGGUUUUACUGUGUCAUAAGCAGCUGAGAAAGAUCUUUGAAAUUUUUUUUCUUUCUAGAUGCCAAACUUGCCAGUAGGGAGAAGGGAAAAUUUUGCUUCAAGGCAAUACGAUGUAAGGAAAAAGAAGUUGCCACACAGUUCUCAGAAAAGUAUACCUUUGCAGAUAUCAUCUUUGGAAAUGAACAGAUAAUAAGUUCAGCAAGUCCGUGUGCAGACUUCUUUUAUCGAAGUUUAUCUUCUGAAUUAAAGAAACCACAAGCCCAGCCAUCUGUGCGUGCAGAAAAACAGUCAAUAGAGGAUGCUGUGAGAUUAAUUCAGGAGUGCAG